rnacentral:rRNA from 1 species
GAUGAACGCUGGCGGCGUGCUUAACACAUGCAAGUCGAACGGAAAGGCCCUGCUUUUGUGGGGUGCUCGAGUGGCGAACGGGUGAGUAACACGUGAGUAACCUGCCCUUGACUUUGGGAUAACUUCAGGAAACUGGGGCUAAUACCGGAUAGGAGCUCCUGCUGCAUGGUGGGGGUUGGAAAGUUUCGGCUGUUGGGGAUGGACUCGCGGCUUAACAGCUUGUUGGUGGGGUAGUGGCUUACCAAGGCUUAGACGGGUAGCCGGCCUGAGAGGGGGGACGGGCUCAAGAGUACUAAGGGACGGACCAGUGGGGAACGGGAGGCAACGGGGGGAAGUAUUACACAGUGAGCGCGAGCGUGUGACGAAGGCCCCCGGUGCGUAAAGACGGCCUACGGGGUAUGAACCGCUGUCGCCUGAGACGAAGCGUGAGUGACGGUAAUGGGUAAAGAAGCACCGGCUAACUACGUG